GCAUACUUGUGACAGUGCUGCGAAAGAUAUUUGAUCUAAUUUCGGCAUUGUGUAAAAUCUUCUUUAUGUUUUGAAAAUAUAAGUAAUUUGGAUGGUAUGUUUUAAUAAAUGAUAUAAAUAAAACCUCUUAUGUUGACAACCCAAUAAUCCUUACUGUGGGAUCCCGAGGAAUACUAUAACCAAUAUUUUUAACUAGAAAAAUGCAUGCCACUGACUUCGUCAAUCAGAAGUAAUCCUUUUUUAUCUUUAAUCGACUUAAUGACUUUGCCCACUUCAGAUCUGUCCACAGGAUUAACGUACUUUAAACAUCAACUAUGGAAAGAUUGUUUAGGGGUCCAUGAUUUAGGUGCUAAUACUGCCGUUAUUUAUAUCUGAAAUUAAUCCAAAGGGCCUUAAUUAUUUGUCUUGCCUUAUUUACUGUUGCAAAAAUGUUGUCUCAGAAACAAAACUUCUGGUGUAAUCACAAUAACCAAUAUCGCAACAUUAAGAUAGCCCUAAUUUGCUCUACUUUAUGACAAGUUCAACGCAAUUCUCUUAUAUUUUGUUUAUAUCUUCCCUGUGAUCAGGAUUUCGGUAUUGUAGAAAAAGAAAAGAAGUGUCAUAAACAUGUAUGUAUAUACCGAAUCACUGGAUGACUGUAAUUAAAUCUGCAUGCAAACGAAAGCCAUUUCAAGUAGUGAAAUGAUAUUUUUUUUUCUACCAAGAACCUGGAGGAUGCUAUUGCUAAUAGAAAGGUUCUAAUUAUCUAGGUUCUAAGGUAUUCAAACUCAACUUGGUAAGUGUAGCAAAACGUAAGCCUUGUGCAUGAAUUGAAAAUUUGGAUCUGCUUUAUCUAUUAAGAGGCCCAAUAGAAAAACGGAAGAAAGUAGGUCCUAUUAAACUUCUUGCAUAUGUUUCAUCUGUUUUUUUGUUUUUGUUUAUCUGUUUUUCAUUGACAAACUGGAGGACAAAACUAGAAAAUGGCUAUGAUUAGAUAAAGAAAACCUUGAAUAAAGUUAAUGGGUAACUAAAGAUACUUCGGUCAUCCUCCAUUAAUUUUUUUUAAUGAUUUUGUUUGUGUACUCCAUAUGUAUUGAAAAGUUACUCUAGACUUCUUUAGAGAUGUAAGAUAAUAAGUUCAAAAAUCUAGUUUCACUUGGCUGUACAUUUUUAAUAACAAACAUAAAUCAAAACAUUUUUAAUUAAAAAUCUUAUAGGAACUUUACAAAAACCGCCAUUGAAAAAAGUAGCAAUUUUUAUAUAUAAAUUACUAAUUUCUUCAAUAUAUUUGAUGUUACGCCACUACGAUUCUUAACGCCUCAUUUAUAGUGCUGCCUUUGCAUUAAACACGAACGAGCCACAACUCACUUACA